CUGGAAAUUCAGCAACAAGACAUUCGGCUUGGCCAGGAAAUCACCAUUAAGACAGACUCGGACUACGCUGAUUGCUCUGCAGCGCUUUGCAGUGAUAACUCUCAGAGGCCUCUUUUCUUGCUUUCUGGGACAAUACACUCUCCGGGCCACUCUCAUCCCCUCUUAGUUUUAAUCCUAAAUUGCCUCUGAUGAAAGUAUCAACAAGCAGUGAAAGGCUGGAAGGCAGGAAGCAUAAGGAAGAAAGUAAAACAAGAGAUAAGAAUAAUCUGCUGGCCUGUGGAGAAUCAAAUGCUAACUGAAAUAAUCAGACUUACGUGUGUGAGUACAGCCCACAAGUCAUCAUCAAACCUCAUUUUGUAGAUGAAGAAAUGUAGGGUGAAAUUUUUAUGCAACCUAUGGCACAAGUUCUAAGACCAGAUAAGCUGGCCAUUCACGCUACAACCAUAAAGGAAAGGCUGACACCAUUUUUCCAACUUGAGCAACCUUUGCUUAAACACGUGGUGGAGUAUUACUCUAAAUAAGUCAGCAAAAGUCAUAUGAAGAGAUAGAGAGCUGUGACUAUUCCCAAAUUGGAAUGAUGUGCCAUCAGUCUGGUUUUUACCUUUUAAUACUUCUUU